GCCACCUUCUAUUUACUCCCGCCAGUGCCGGUAGGGCGGGCCAGUGCUCCACUCCCCAGUUUACAGACAGAGAAAAAUAAAGUCCAGGCCAGGAGUACAGAAUGACUCCAACCCACUGCUCAGCUGCAAGUAAUGAGCAGCAGUAAAGGAAGUAAAUCCCUACCUGGUAGACAAGUAAGGGAGACUUUUAUUUUGUUUCUCCUUUGAGGGCUGGAAGCAGCAGGCUAGCUGCAGUGAGGACUGGAGUGCCGCAAGGUCACUUUCUAUAAGGUUGGUGAAAGCUGUGUUUUACUUAGUUUAAACCUUGAUAGUCAGUGAUAUCUACGUUAGGACUAGGAUUUUGUUUGUAGGAAUUUCUUUUGUGAUUGUUUCUAAUGUGAUCUCCUGAAGUGGAUUGCAAAAUAACGCGUGUGAAUUAUUUCAUUGAUUCCGCAAGACUGUGAUUAUUAUAUACCCGGCCUAGAGGAACGUGCUAUUUGCAGGGACAUAGUACACUGUGUGCUUACAGGAUCACACUGUGCUCAAGACACAUUAUUACUAGACUUGUGGAUUUGCAAUUCGUAUGCAUUUUGGUUGAUUUCACAACUCUAUGUAUGUAUCGCGAAACAAUCUAAACAGGCAAUGUACAAGCCAUAUAAUUUGUUUGUGAUUUGGAGUUCUGCUCAUGGUGCCAUAAAAAAAGGUUGGAAUGGGGGGGAAAGCUGAUUUGGGGGGGCAAAUAAGCAGCUUCAUUUGCCAUUAUGAACAAGUUGCCUGCCCAAUAAUGUGGGCUGUAUCUCCUGUCAAUCAAAACUAACAUUUUUGAUGGAUAAAUGAUGAUUGAUGGUUAUUGGAUAGCCACUAAAUUUUCAUUUUAUUCACAGAGCAAGUGAGUAAUUGCUUUUUGAGGGGGAAAAUGGAGCUGUAAAAAGAUUUCCAAACGGAAUCCAUCCAUACACUUUGAAAUCAGCUAUUGAGGGAGACCAAGCAGCAGUUAUUUUGUGCUUCACCAUUGCUGCGUUUGUGUGAGAUCACGUGUGUCAUUGAUCCUAUUGUGACUCUGGUGAGGUGGUUAGGUUACUGGUGUAAUAGUUUUGAUGUAGAAGUAUUGAGACACAGCUAUAGAUAUCUAAAGACAGAAAAUCCUGUGAAAUGAGCAACUGCCUUAUCCUCUUGAAAGUACAACACCGCAAAACAACAGAAAAAACACACAGGUUGCGCCAAAUACCAAAUAAAGGGAAAAUAGUUAAAAUGGGUAUAGUUCGCAAUUUUCUUGUAUCAAAUAUUCCUGUAUCCAUUGGAAUAAAGCUUGGUCCACAAGUACAUUCGUAAAACAGAUAAUAAAAAUCGAUAACGCAGAUUGCUGUAGAUAGUAGAUACUGUCAACUUCGUCAAUGCUCACUCACAUUAAUUGGAACUUAUGACUAGCUCAAGUUUUGACAGCAUGCAGUAAUAUAUAAUUAUAUGGGUAUUUCUUGUAAUAGACAACCAGGUCAAUAGUGAAUAGUGCCCAGGUGUUUAACAGGCAAUUUUGUAAUACUGUUAGUAUAUAUGUGUGGAUACAGUGAAUACAAAUACACAUUCACAAUGAGAGAGCCCAUAACACAAGCUCAACAUAUCAAGCAUCUGGUGGUAUGAUCCCUAACAAGUUGAUUUGCAUAGGUUCUGGACUCCUUGGUCAGGGUACCCCAUGAAACAUAAGAAAGCAAUAUAGUGCACUCUGUAUAGCUUAAUACAACAUAAAAAGGUGGUGGAAUCAUACUCACACUUCGUUGAGCAGUUUAAUCUGCUCAGGAUGAUCAGCAUUAGUGGUAUGAUCCCCACCGAG